UACGAAGGGGGCUAGCGUUGCUCGGAAUUACUGGGCGUAAAGGGCGCGUAGGCGGACAGUUUAGUCAGAGGUGGAAAGCCCAGGGCUCAACCUUGGAAAUUGCCUUUGAUACUGGCUGUCUUGAGUUCGGGAGAGGUGAGUGGAAUCGCCGAGUGUAGAGGUGAAAUUCGUAGAUAUUCGGCGGAACACCAGUGGCGAAGGCGAGUCCCUGGACGAUACCUGACACUGAGGCACGGAAAGCUAGGGGAAGCAAACAGG
rnacentral:rRNA from 1 species